GGCGAACGCUGGCGGCGUGCUUAACACAUGCAAGUCGAACGGAAAGGCCCUGCUUUUGUGGGGUGCUCGAGUGGCGAACGGGUGAGUAACACGUGAGUAACCUGCCCUUGACUUUGGGAUAACUUCAGGAAACUGGGGCUAAUACCGGAUAGUAGCUCCUGCUGCAUGGUGGGGGUUGGAAAGUUUCGGCGGUUGGGGAUGGACUCGCGGCUUAUCAGCUUGUUGGUGGGGUAGUGGCUUACCAAGGCUUUGACGGGUAGCCGGCCUGAGAGGGUGACCGGCCACAUUGGGACUGAGAUACGGCCCAGACUCCUACGGGAGGCAGCAGUGGGGAAUAUUGCACAAUGGGCGGAAGCCUGAUGCAGCAACGCCGCGUGCGGGAUGACGGCCUUCGGGUUGUAAACCGCUUUCGCCUGUGACGAAGCGUGAGUGACGGUAAUGGGUAAAGAAGCACCGGCUAACUACGUG
rnacentral:rRNA from 1 species